rnacentral:lncRNA from 1 species
UUUUCGUGAUCGUUUUGGGUUUAUUGAAUCAGAGGGGAAACAUAAUUUAGGGGUACUAUUUCAGUUCCAUAUAGAAGGUCUGAAUCUAUAUUUAUUUUUUUAGGAGAAUAUAUUAAUCCUAAGCAUAUUUCUUUUUAAUCUGUUUGAUAUUGAUGUAUACAAGUAUUGUCACUGUCACUCGAUUCACAAUGAAACAUGCAAAAUGAUCUC